AAGUCACAGGUGCUGCUAGGGUGAGACAGACAUCGCUUUCAGAGUCCUUAGGUGCAGCAGGCAGGCACUAUCCAUGUACAGAGGGAGAAAAUGUGGCGAUGUGGCUGUAUUUUGGGACAAUGAUAAAACGGAAAAAGGCCAAGUCGCGGGGGCAGCAGUCUUAGGAGAGAACUCCAGACUUCACUCUCCCCAGACACAUCCUCCAGCUCCUCCUGGGGGAUCCCGAGGCGUUCCCAGGCCAGCCGAGAGACAUAGUCCCUCCAGCGUGUCCUGGGUCUUUCCCGAGGCCUCCUCCCGGAGGGACAUGCCUGGAACACCUCCCUACUGUAGGUAGUCGUCUAGGAGGCAUCCAGGUGCCCGAGCCUCCUCAGCUGACUUCUCUUGAUGUGAAGGAGCAGCGGCUCUACUCCUGGGUGACUGAGCUCCUCACAAUAUCUAUAAGGGUGUGCCCUGCCACCCUGCGAAGGAAAUUCAUUUUGGCCGCAUGUAUCUGAGAUCUUGUCCUUUCGGUCAUGUCCCAAAGCUCAUGACCAUAGGUGAGAGUAGAAAUGUAGAUUGACCAGUAAAUCAAGACCUUUUCCUUUCGAUUAAGCUACUUCUUUACCACAACAGACCGAUACAUAAAUGGCAUUGCUGCUGCCGCUUCACCGAUUCACCUGUCAAUCUCAUGUGGUUCUAUAUAAAUAAACCUUUCCAACACUAUUUUCCAAAAAAAAAAAAAAAGCAUAAGACAUGUAAGACUGUCCAUAAAACCUUAUCAUCUUCAGGAAAGAGGGGCUCUUUCUCAUGAGGCCUCUGGGGCUUUAGAUCGGGUUCAUAAUGCACCAGGCGAACAGGCUUGUCUGAUUCCAGAAAUCGAGUGAGCCAUUCAGAAACCUUGUCCCCACAGUCCCUGCCCUGGACAUCUACUCCGAAGACUCUACACACAAAAACAAAUUACACACAGUCACAUCUAUUCUCAUUCUUAAAAAAAAAAAAACUUUGUUUACAUAUAUAAAGUAUGACUUGUAAUGUGUAAAAUUACUGCAUUACAAAACACCACACCAAGUAAUACAUUACUGAAUUUUAUGGUAUGUUCACAACAGUGGUUUGAUUAUCUUGGUUUGUUCGGUCCAGGCCAAAAGAAAAUAUGUAUUUAUCCAUUCAUGGUUUGCUUGCUAUUCAGCAGUGUCAUUUCUAAGACUUAACACUUAAAGACUCAAACAAAAACUUGAUUUUAAGAUGUAUAUGUCAGACAGAUCUUACCAAACAAUGCUGUUCGCACAUGUGAUAGUAUGUUGUUUAGCUGAGAAUGAUGUGAAAAAAUGUUUGUUUGAGCAGUCUGUUUUAUUUAUGUGAUCUGGUGGGAUCACAUCAUGCUUUUGGUCUAUAUCAUCUUCAUAUCUCAGUCGAACCACACCAGGGUUCACUUGGAAGCAGAUCAGUUUCAGUGUUUAAAAUAAAGACAUUAAAAGUCCAAUCAUA